CGGACGGGUGAGUAAUGUCUGGGAAACUGCCUGAUGGAGGGGGAUAACUGCUGGAAACGGUAGCUAAUACCGCAUAACGUCGCAAGACCAAAGAGGGGGACCUUCGGGCCUCUUGCCAUCGGAUGUGCCCAGAUGGGAUUAGCUAGUAGGUGGGGUAACGGCCCACCUAGGCGACGAUCCCUAGCUGGUCUGAGAGGAUGACCAGCCACACUGGAACUGAGACACGGUCCAG
rnacentral:rRNA from 1 species